GCAGUGAUAGUUUAGCAGCCUAGAACACCUUAUUCUUCCUUGUUCACAACUUACCCCAUCGGGGUCGAAGAAUAUAGGAUUAUCGCCUUUAACGCGGGAGACGCGGGUGCAAAUCCCGUUCGCUGCACCA
rnacentral:tRNA from 1 species